GAAAUUGGUCUCAUUUGGGGUGUUAAGAAUGAUCUUCAUUUGUUAAUUAUCUUUACUGGAUCUCGUGGUUACAAAAUCCAAGCAUCAUUUAUGUAAGCAUUGUGCUAGUAAGCUUUGACCGGAUCAUGGUGCGCCCAACGAACCUAAAUUUCCAAGUUUUUGAGACGACUACACUUUUUAUAACAAUCUUCGUUAUGACCGUUUUGCUUCAGGAUCCUUUUGUCAAUGGAGAGAAAUUCACAGCCGUUAAUUUGAAUUUGGCGUCAAAGUUUUACCACCUCGAGGUGGAGUGUUCCAGAGAACUUGGCUCAUGUCAGAAACUACAUGAAGAUGAACAGUAUAAAUACAUCAUUUCCAUGUCUUGCGUAUCACCAAGAUGCUUUCGUGUACCGGAGCUGACAUGCUUCAAACUGGUAUGAGAGGAGCGUUCGGUAAACCCUUGGGAAUGGAUCACCUAGCUAACUUGUUAUCGUAUGAGAUUCAGCUGCAGUCUACUUUUGCUAUGUUGGUGUACAAACUGGUGCACCUUGUUGUCUUUUGAAUUUUUGGGUUUUUGCAGACAUGUACAUGUUUGUACGCCAAUGUAAACUAAGAUUUUUUAACAAUGAGAAUUAUAUAGUCAUAUGGGUACUCUUUUUGUAGUUCUCGGAAAGAGCUUUCUGAAUAUAUAAAGUUUGUGAAUUUUGGACA